UUGGGCACAGUGUUCCUGAUGCUUUGAUGCCAGGCUCAGGGCCAGGCUCUUCACCUGAUUUUGUACAUGGGGCUCUUGGAGGAAGGAAACCACCACUACUGGGAGUGAACCAUGGUAGUGGAAGAAGUAUCCUCAGCAGCCUGUCCAGGGACUGGGAGGAUGUCCUCUGAGCCCCCUGGACCACAGCACUGGCUGGUGGACUAUGCUAAGAACAGGCCCAAGAGUGAAAAUUUUCUGUCAACUAAAACUUUCAAAGCAUUAGUUCCUUCAGGUCCUCUACUACGUCAAGUAUACCACAAUAGAGCAAUCUAACUGGAGUGAAAGUUUCAUGUAUGCGAGAAGUAGAAAAGCAUCUGGAGAAUUUGAUUUCAAGACUUAGAUUGGAGACCCACCUACUUAAAUCAACAGGUGAAAUAAACAUGAAGCAAAAAUUGCCAUCAGAAUUGCUGUGUGGGCAGAAGAAGAGGCAACCAGGAGCGCUCUCCAGGCACCCUUGUGAGAUUUACAAGGGCUUCUUGUGGAAAACCU